AUUGAACGCUGGCGGCAGGCCUAACACAUGCAAGUCGAGCGGGGUUUUCGGACCUAGCGGCGGACGGGUGAGUAAUGCGUAGGAAGCUGCCCGAUAGAGGGGGAUACCAGUUGGAAACGACUGUUAAUACCGCAUAAUGCCUACGGACCAAAGUGUGGGACCUUCGGGCCACAUGCUAUCGGAUGCGCCUACGUGGGGUUAGCUAGUUGGUGAGGUAAUGGCUCACCAAGGCGACGAUCUCUAGCUGGUUUGAGAGGAUGAUCAGCCACACUGGAACUGAGACACGGUCCAGACUCCUACGGGAGGCAGCAGUGGGGAAUAUUGGACAAUGGGCGCAAGCCUGAUCCAGCCAUGCCGCGUGUGUGAAGAAGGCCUUCGGGUUGUAAAGCACUUUCAGCGAGGAGGAAGGGUGGUGUGUUAAUAGUACAUCAUUUUGACGUUACUCGCAGAAGAAGCACCGGCUAACUCUGUGCCAGCCGCCGCCGUAACAC
rnacentral:rRNA from 1 species